UAUGUAUUGGGUUGGCCAAAAAGCUUGUUCAGGUUUUUACAUGAUGUUAAGGAAAAACUCAAACAAACUUUUGGACCAAUCCAACAUG
ensembl:miRNA bta-mir-2285af-1 bta-mir-2285af-1